CUUCCAUAAGCUUUGCCCAACAGCAAUGAAAAGAAAGAAAAAAUAGUAAUUCCCACUAAAAAGAUCUUUUUCCUGGUAUUAAAAAUUUUUUAAUCAUCAGUUCAACUCUUGAGUUCCGAUAUUUAGCAAGAAGAUUGAGUUCCCCUCCUUAAUUGUAGUCAAAGAAAACUUACAACUGCGUCUUGACUUCUGUAGUAUAUUUCCCAGAAACGCAGGAAGAAUUCCAGCAAGUUGUCAUCAAUCACUUGAAAGGCUAAGGUCUAACCCUUGUAGAAGUGGAGUUAUGGAGCAAGACAUGCAGUCACUAUUCUGCUCAACCACUGGACUUGGAUUAAGAGAGGAAGAGCACAGGGGACUAGCUGGGAGGCUUUCACUUUCAUAAGCACAGUAAUCCCCUGAGGAAUGUUGCCUUGUUUGUUAUCAGCAGGGGAUCACUAUCAGGCAGUUGAGAGGAUAGCUUGCUUUUGAUGUGAAUCACUACCUGCCUACCAGGCUGUGUAUUGUAAUGUUUAAGGGCUUUCUUGGCUUUGCAUUCAAUGUAUGCCUACUUAGAAGUACGCUUCCAAUCAAAUCUUCUAUUCAAAUAAGUAUGUACAGAAUUGCAGCCUUAAUUAAAAAUCUGUGCUUUUUUGUUGUU